UAAUCAAAUGUACGAACUCCGGUA
rnacentral:siRNA from 1 species